AUACGGAGGAUGCGAGCGUUAUCCGGAUUUAUUGGGUUUAAAGGGUGCGUAGGCGGACGAUUAAGUCAGCUGUGAAAUGCCCGCGCUUAACGCGGGAAGUGCAGUUGAUACUGGUUGUCUGGAGUGCCGUUGCCGUGGGGGGAAUGUGUAGUGUAGCGGUGAAAUGCAUAGAUAUUACACAGAACGCCGAUUGUGAAGACACCUCACGAAGCGGUAACUGACGCUGAGGCACGAAAGCGUGGGGAUCGAACAGGAUUAGAUACCCUGGUAGUCCACGCAGUAAACGAUGAUGACUAACCGUCGGCGAUAGAAUGUCGGUGGCCAAGCGAAAGCGAUAAGUUAUCCACCUGGGGAGUACGUUCGCAAGAAUGAAACUCAAAUGAAUUGACGGGG
rnacentral:rRNA from 1 species